rnacentral:snRNA from 1 species
AUGCUUACCUGAUGGAGGGAUGUUGUGAUCACAAAGUUGGUUUAUUCAUUGCACUCUGGUGUGCUAGCCUAUAUGAUUUCCCCAAUAAAGAAAACUCAACCACAUAAUUCAUGGUAGUGAGAAACUGCAUUCACACUCUUC